GUAGCUCAACUGGUAGAGCAUGGCAUUAACACUGCCAGGGUUAGGGAUUUAAUUGCCACUGAGGCCACCCA